UGGAUCGAACAGAACCAGGAGGGGGCGACCAGGGGUUUCUCCACAAACCCUAAUUCUCACAAAAUCCUCCAAAUUGAAGCUCAAAUCAAGCCCGAAUCGUCUGCAUGAUUACAAAUUCGUGAUCUCCAUUGAAAGGGGAGUCAUAAGUUUGACUCUUGACGAGCUAGGUGAAGCUUGGAGGAGAAGAUCAAACGGGAUAAAGGCACGAAUAAGACUUGCUUGGAUGAAAGGGGCGAAUAGUAAUUUGGGUAAUUGCGUCGCCAUAAGAAUAUCGAUAAUGAAAGCAAGGAGUCGAAACGGGUCAUUAGGUUGACUCGAGCCAGGUGAAUGUCGAGAGUCCCGGAUGAAGAUCAAGCAUCGAACAAGAACCGAACACACGUUAAACAAAGCUUCCGCAACGUUGUUUUGUCGUUAUUCUAAACGGCGAAUUAAAUCACAUUAUGUAUAUCACUUAAAUUGUAAAAGUUUUUA
rnacentral:lncRNA from 1 species